CGUACGGUGUAGUGUAGGGGUUAAUUAUCGGUCUGGUAAGCGCGCGUCUCGGGUUCGAGUCUCGGUUAGAACGAAUGUGAUUUUCACUUUAUUUCUAUAAGUAGCGAAAGUUAGGUCUAAAUAAAGAGUCAAGCGGUCUAAACAUGUGUUAGCUCUACAUUAAAAAUAAUAUAAAAAAAAAAAAAAAA